AUGCUACUCAUUGAGCACAGGUGUGCAGAUCCAGUGCCAAGUGCUGGGGACAGACCUGACCCCACGCUGGCCUUGCCAGAGCAGAACCCAUAGCCCCUUCUACAGAGGAAGGAGCGAGCCCUGAGGACACAGGGCGGUCAGGUCAGCGAGAGGCAGAGCCUGGACGUUGCCAGCAGGUCUGCCAGCUGCAGAACCUACCUCUCCUGCCACAGCCUCCUUUCCUGUGAAAUUAUAGGGGCUUUCUUGAAGCAUUGCGGCCCCUUCCCUGCAUAGCAGACCCCAAAGAAUCAGGCUUUGCCCAAUGACCUGGCAUCAGGGCCAGGACUGCGCUGCGGUGGUGAGGGUGUGACUGGGGGUGGGCGGACAGUGGUGUGCCCCAGUGGCCUGAACUGACUGCCCUUCUUUAUGCUUCUUAUGUGCAGCCUUGAAAGUGACCCAGACUGCCAGAGGCAACCAGAUAAACGAGAUGGCCCUGAUGACCGACCAUUGCCACCUCGUUGGCUUUGUGUCCUUAAUCACCUCCCUUCUCUGAAGCCUCUUCUCUUUGAUGCCAUCCGCUGGCCACCUGGACAGCUGAAGCUGGCCAGAGGCGACCUGGGCACCAUGCUGUCCUUGGUGUGGCAGGAGGGGGAAGCAGUGCAUUGAACUCCGAACAGCUGCCGGCUGCCUGGAGCGCUGUGCUGAGCGCCUCCAGGGCCUGUCCAAGGUCAGUGGAAGAAGUGUCCACAGGGGUGUCUGAUGGCCAUGGGCAAGCGGACAGGCCGUGGUGGCAUCUGUGCUGUGUCUGCCGGCCUGCAGCUACGUCCUUGCUUCUGCUAGGAGUUCGCUGUGUCUCAGUGCGAAGCUCCACAUGGAGAGGUGGAGGGACGCGGCUGCCCCCAAGGUACGUAGGUGUCACACAUCUUCCCCAGGCAGGAGAAGGGCAGGCCCAGGGAGGGGAAGACACGCCAUGAGACAUCCCCGCCAGCUCCGGCCGGAAGCAGGAGGCCCGUGGUCCUCUCCUAAUGCGCCGACUGCCCGAAGGCCAAGUUAGGAGCCACUAACCCACUGCAUCGAGGGUGUGUGUUCCUUUCACUGUGCCCCGGGAACGCCCAGUGUUAUGUUGGGAAGGGGCAGGCCCCCGGGAGCGGGGCACAGCCCAGCCUCCCGCCUCAGGCCCAGGGGCUCUCGGACAGUCCCCGGUUGGAUACAGUGGGCGAGGGAUGGCCAAGGACAGGUUCUAAGGGGACUUCUGUGCUGACUGCAGCGAGCAUCACCCAGCAGGGUUGGGCGGGACCGACUGCCACAUGCCCCAGGGGAGGGGCACGUACCCCAGGGGCCCUGGAGAGGACCGGCCCUGGCGGGAUGUGGGCCACCCCUGCCCGAGCUGUGACGGCGUUGGGGGGUCCCAGCCUGGGGAGGGCUGACUGGGGGGGGGGC
rnacentral:lncRNA from 1 species